UACGUAGGCAGCAAGCGUUGUUCGGAAUUACUGGGCGUAAAGAGUGUGUAGGCGGUGUUCUAAGUUUGUCGUGAAAUCUCCCGGCUUAACUGGGAGGGUGCGCCGGAAACUGGAGUGCUCGAGCGUGGGAGAGGAAAGCGGAAUUCCUGGUGUAGCGGUGAAAUGCGUAGAUAUCAGGAGGAACACCUGCGGUGUAGACGGCUUUCUGGACCAUUGCUGACGCUGAGACACGAAAGCGUGGGUAGCAAACAGG
rnacentral:rRNA from 1 species